rnacentral:tRNA from 1 species
GGAAGAGGAUGGGGUCUGGUGGCCCCUGCGGCCUUCAAAGCCGUUGGCGGGCGGUGUUCCCGUCUGCGGGAGGUUCGAUUCCUCCCCCUUCCG